CGUCCAAAGCUUUUUGGUUUGGUGAAGGUUGUUGUACCUGACCCCAUUGAAGCUCUUGGAAGAACAAAGACCAUGCUCCACUGUGGACUCACACAUAAUUGUAGUUCAUUACUAUAACAUGGCCAACAAA
rnacentral:snoRNA from 11 species